CAGCAGCCGCGGUAAUACGGAGGGGGCUAGCGUUGUUCGGAAUUACUGGGCGUAAAGCGCACGUAGGCGGCUUGGUAAGUUAGAGGUGAAAGCCCGGAGCUCAACUCCGGAAUUGCCUUUAAGACUGCCGAGCUAGUAGGUGAGAGAGGUAAGUGGAAUUCCGAGUGUAGAGGUGAAAUUCGUAGAUAUUCGGAAGAACACCAGUGGCGAAGGCGGCUCACUGGACGACUGUUGACGCUGAGGUGCGAAAGCGUGGGGAGCAAACAGGAUUAGAUACCCGCGUAGUCCCUGUCUCUUAUAU
rnacentral:rRNA from 1 species